GUGCCCUUUGGUUCGGAACAACUCAGGGAAACUUGAGCUAAUACCGGAUGUGCCCUUCGGGGGAAAGAUUUAUCGCCAUUGGAGCGGCCCGCGUCUGAUUAGCUAGUUGGUGAGGUAAAGGCUCACCAAGGCGACGAUCAGUAGCUGGUCUGAGAGGAUGAUCAGCCACAUUGGGACUGAGACACGGCCCAAACUCCUACGGGAGGCAGCAGUGGGGAAUCUUGCGCAAUGGGCGAAAGCCUGACGCAGCCAUGCCGCGUGAAUGAUGAAGGUCUUAGGAUUGUAAAAUUCUUUCACCGGGGACGAUAAUGACGGUACCCGGAGAAGAAGCCCCGGCUAACUUCGUGCCAGCAGCCGCGGUAAUACGAAGGGGGCUAGCGUUGCUCGGAAUUACUGGGCGUAAAGGGAGCGUAGGCGGACUGUUAAGUUAGAGGUGAAAGCCCAGGGCUCAACCUUGGAAUUGCCUUUGAUACUGGCAGUCUUGAGUACGGAAGAGGUAUGUGGAACUCCGAGUGUAGAGGUGAAAUUCGUAGAUAUUCGGAAGAACACCAGUGGCGAAGGCGACAUACUGGUCCGUUACUGACGCUGAGGCUCGAAAGCGUGGGGAGCAAACAGGAUUAGAUACCCUGGUAGUCCACGCCGUAAACGAUGAGUGCUAGUUGUCGGCAUGCAUGCAUGUCGGUGACGCAGCUAACGCAUUAAGCACUCCGCCUGGGGAGUACGGUCGCAAGAUUAAAACUCAAAGGAAUUGACGGGGGCCCGCACAAGCGG
rnacentral:rRNA from 1 species